rnacentral:rRNA from 1 species
GGAAUUUUUGUCAAUGGGGGCAACCCUGAACAAGCAACGCCGCGUGAAGGACGAAGACCUUCGGGUUGUAAACUUCUGUCGGAGGGGACGAAAGCGGUCGAGGCGACUACCCUCGGCCGUUGACGGUACCCUACGAGGAAGCCCCGGCUAACUCCGUGCCAGCAGCCGCGCUAACACGGGGGGGGCAAGCGUCGGUCGGAAGUACUGGGCGUAAAGGGCGCGUAGGCGGGCGGGCAAGUCUCUCGUGAAAGCCCACGGCUCAACCGUGGAAUUGCGGGAGAUACUGCUCGUCUUGAGUCCGGGAGAGGAGGGUGGAAUUCCCAGUGUAGCGGUGAAAUGCGUAGAUAUUGGGAGGAACACCGGUGGCGAAGGCGGCUCUCUGGACCGGUACUGACGCUGAGGCGCGAAAGCUAGGGGAGCAAAC